CACGUAGGGUGCGAGCGUUGUCCGGAAUUAUUGGGCGUAAAGAGCUUGUAGGCGGUCUGUCGCGUCUGCUGUGAAAAUCCGGGGCUCAACCCCGGACUUGCAGUGGGUACGGGCAGACUAGAGUGUGGUAGGGGAGACUGGAAUUCCUGGUGUAGCGGUGAAAUGCGCAGAUAUCAGGAGGAACAGCCGAUGGCGAAGGCAG
rnacentral:rRNA from 1 species